GAUGAACGCUGGCGGCGUGCCUAAUACAUGCAAGUCGAACGAAACUUCUUUAUCACCGAGUGCUUGCACUCACCGAUAAAGAGUUGAGUGGCGAACGGGUGAGUAACACGUGGGCAACCUGCCCAAAAGAGGGGGAUAACACUUGGAAACAGGUGCUAAUACCGCAUAACCAUAGUUACCGCAUGGUAACUAUGUAAAAGGUGGCUAUACUACCGCUUUUGGAUGGGCCCGCGGCGCAUUAGCUAGUUGGUAGGGUAAAGGCUUACCAAGGCAAUGAUGCGUAGCCGAAUUGAGAGGUUGAUCGGCCACAUUGGGACUGAGACACGGCCCAAACUCCUACGGGAGGCAGCAGUAGGGAAUCUUCCACAAUGGGCGAAGGCCUGAUGGAGCAACGCCGCGUGGGUGAAGAAGGUCUUCGGAUCGUAAAACCCUGUUGUUAGAGAAGAAAGUGCGUGAGAGUAACUGUUCACGUUUCGACGGUAUCUAACCAGAAAGCCACUGCUAACUACGUG
rnacentral:rRNA from 1 species